rnacentral:rRNA from 1 species
AUUGAACGCUGGCGGCAGGCCUAACACAUGCAAGUCGAGCGGAUGAAGGGAGCUUGCUCCUGGAUUCAGCGGCGGACGGGUGAGUAAUGCCUAGGAAUCUGCCUGGUAGUGGGGGAUAACGUCCGGAAACGGGCGCUAAUACCGCAUACGUCCUGAGGGAGAAAGUGGGGGAUCUUCGGACCUCACGCUAUCAGAUGAGCCUAGGUCGGAUUAGCUAGUUGGUGGGGUAAAGGCCUACCUAGGCGACGAUCCGUAACUGGUCUGAGAGGAUGAUCAGUCACACUGGAACUGAGACACGGUCCAGACUCCUACGGGAGGCAGCAGUGGGGAAUAUUGGACAAUGGGCGAAAGCCUGAUCCAGCCAUGCCGCGUGUGUGAAGAAGGUCUUCGGAUUGUAAAGCACUUUAAGUUGGGAGGAAGGGCAGUAAAUUAAUACCUUGCUGUUUUGACGUUACCAACAGAAUAAGCACCGGCUAACUUCGUG